rnacentral:rRNA from 1 species
GCAUAUCAUAGCGGAGGAAAAAGAAACCAACAGGGAUUGCCCUAGUAACGGCGAGUGAAGCGGCAACAGCUCAAAUUUGAAAUCUGGCUCUUCAGAGUCCGAGUUGUAAUUUGCAGAGGGCGCUUUGGCUUUGGCAGCGGUCCAAGUUCCUUGGAACAGGACGUCACAGAGGGUGAGAAUCCCGUACGUGGUCGCUAGCUAUUGCCGUGUAAAGCCCCUUCGACGAGUCGAGUUGUUUGGGAAUGCAGCUCUAAAUGGGAGGUAAAUUUCUUCUAAAGCUAAAUAUUGGCCAGAGACCGAUAGCGCACAAGUAGAGUGAUCGAAAGAUGAAAAGCACUUUGGAAAGAGAGUCAAACAGCACGUGAAAUUGUUGAAAGGGAAGCGCUUGCAGCCAGACUUGCUUGCAGUUGCUCAUCCGGGCUUUUGCCCGGUGCACUCUUCUGUAGGCAGGCCAGCAUCAGUUUGGGCGGUGGGAUAAAGGUCUCUGUCACGUACCUCUCUUCGGGGAGGCCUUAUAGGGGAGACGACAUACCACCAGCCUAGACUGAGGUCCGCGCAUCUGCUAGGAUGCUGGCGUAAUGGCUGUAAGCGGCCCGUCUUGAAACACGGACCAAGGAGUCUAACAUCUAUGCGAGUGUUUGGGUGUCAAGCCCGAGCGCGUAAUGAAAGUGAACGGAGGUGGGAACCCGCAAGGGUGCACCAUCGACCGAUCCUGAAGUUUACGGAAGGAUUUGAGUAAGAGCAUGGCUGUUGGGACCCGAAAGAUGGUGAACUAUGCUUGAAUAGGGUGAAGCCAGAGGAAACUCUGGUGGAGGCUCGCAGCGGUUCUGACGUGCAAAUCGAUCGUCAAAUUUGGCAUAGGGCGAAAGACUAAUCGA